GACGAACGCUGGCGGCGUGCCUAAUACAUGCAAGUAGAACGCACAGGAUGCACCGUAGUUUACUACACCGUAUUCUGUGAGUUGCGAACGGGUGAGUAACGCGUAGGUAACCUGCCUGGUAGCGGGGGAUAACUAUUGGAAACGAUAGCUAAUACCGCAUAAGAACAUUUACUGCAUGGUAGAUGUUUAAAAGGUGCAAAUGCAUCACUACCAGAUGGACCUGCGUUGUAUUAGCUAGUAGGUGGGGUAACGGCUCACCUAGGCGACGAUACAUAGCCGACCUGAGAGGGUGAUCGGCCACACUGGGACUGAGACACGGCCCAGACUCCUACGGGAGGCAGCAGUAGGGAAUCUUCGGCAAUGGGGGGAACCCUGACCGAGCAACGCCGCGUGAGUGAAGAAGGUUUUCGGAUCGUAAAGCUCUGUUGUUAAGGAAGAACGAGUGUGAGAAUGGAAAGUUCAUACUGUGACGGUACUUAACCAGAAAGGGACGGCUAACUACGUGCCAGCAGCCGCGGUAAUACGUAGGUCCCGAGCGUUGUCCGGAUUUAUUGGGCGUAAAGCGAGCGCAGGCGGUUAGAUAAGUCUGAAGUUAAAGGCAGUGGCUCAACCAUUGUAGGCUUUGGAAACUGUUUAACUUGAGUGCAGAAGGGGAGAGUGGAAUUCCAUGUGUAGCGGUGAAAUGCGUAGAUAUAUGGAGGAACACCGGUGGCGAAAGCGGCUCUCUGGUCUGUAACUGACGCUGAGGCUCGAAAGCGUGGGGAGCGAACAGG
rnacentral:rRNA from 1 species